GAUGAACGCUGGCGGCGUGCCUAAUACAUGCAAGUCGAGCGAACGGACGAGAAGCUUGCUUCUCUGAUGUUAGCGGCGGACGGGUGAGUAACACGUGGAUAACCUACCUAUAAGACUGGGAUAACUUCGGGAAACCGGAGCUAAUACCGGAUAAUAUUUUGAACCGCAUGGUUCAAAAGUGAAAGACGGUCUUGCUGUCACUUAUAGAUGGAUCCGCGCUGCAUUAGCUAGUUGGUAAGGUAACGGCUUACCAAGGCAACGAUGCGUAGCCGACCUGAGAGGGUGAUCGGCCACACUGGAACUGAGACACGGUCCAGACUCCUACGGGAGGCAGCAGUAGGGAAUCUUCCGCAAUGGGCGAAAGCCUGACGGAGCAACGCCGCGUGAGUGAUGAAGGUCUUCGGAUCGUAAAACUCUGUUAUUAGGGAAGAACAUAUGUGUAAGUAACUGUGCACAUCUUGACGGUACCUAAUCAGAAAGCCACGGCUAACUACGUGCCAGCAGCCGCGGUAAUACGUAGGUGGCAAGCGUUAUCCGGAAUUAUUGGGCGUAAAGCGCGCGUAGGCGGUUUUUUAGGUCUGAUGUGAAAGCCCACGGCUCAACCGUGGAGGGUCAUUGGAAACUGGAAAACUUGAGUGCAGAAGAGGAAAGUGGAAUUCCAUGUGUAGCGGUGAAAUGCGCAGAGAUAUGGAGGAACACCAGUGGCGAAGGCGACUUUCUGGUCUGUAACUGACGCUGAUGUGCGAAAGCGUGGGGAUCAAACAGGAUUAGAUACCCUGGUAGUCCACGCCGUAAACGAUGAGUGCUAAGUGUUAGGGGGUUUCCGCCCCUUAGUGCUGCAGCUAACGCAUUAAGCACUCCGCCUGGGGAGUACGACCGCAAGGUUGAAACUCAAAGGAAUUGACGGGGACCCGCACAAGCGGUGGAGCAUGUGGUUUAAUUCGAAGCAACGCGAAGAACCUUACCAAAUCUUGACAUCCUUUGACAACUCUAGAGAUAGAGCCUUCCCCUUCGGGGGGCAAAGUGACAGGUGGUGCAUGGUUGUCGUCAGCUCGUGUCGUGAGAUGUUGGGUUAAGUCCCGCAACGAGCGCAACCCUUAAGCUUAGUUGCCAUCAUUAAGUUGGGCACUCUAAGUUGACUGCCGGUGACAAACCGGAGGAAGGUGGGGAUGACGUCAAAUCAUCAUGCCCCUUAUGAUUUGGGCUACACACGUGCUACAAUGGACAAUACAAAGGGCAGCGAAACCGCGAGGUCAAGCAAAUCCCAUAAAGUUGUUCUCAGUUCGGAUUGUAGUCUGCAACUCGACUACAUGAAGCUGGAAUCGCUAGUAAUCGUAGAUCAGCAUGCUACGGUGAAUACGUUCCCGGGUCU
rnacentral:rRNA from 1 species